CCCUUAGAUGUUCUGGGCUGCACGCGCGCUACACUGGUGCGUUCAGCGAGUUUAGCACCUUAACAGAUAUGUUUGGGUAAUCUUCUGAAAACGCACCGUGAUGGGGAUCGAUUAUUGUAAUUAUUAAUCGUCAACGAGGAAUUCCUAGUAAGUGUGAAUCAUCAGUUCGCGCUGAUUACGUCCCUGCCCUUUGUACACACCGCCCGUCGCUGCUACCGGUUGAGUGGUCCGGUGAAUUAUUCGGACCGGUGGACUGUGGGGUAACUCGCGGUCUGCUGGGAAGUCUUGUGAACCUCAUCACUUAGAGGAAGCAGAAGUCGUAACA
rnacentral:rRNA from 1 species